rnacentral:rRNA from 1 species
UACAGGGGGUGCAAACGUUGCUCGGAAUCAUUGGGCGUAAAGCGCACGUAGGCGGUUCGUUAUGUCGGAUGUGAAAGCCCUUGGCUUAACCGAGGAAGUGCAUCCGAAACUGGCGAGCUAGAGUACGAAAGAGGGUCGCGGAAUUCCCGGUGUAGAGGUGAAAUUCGUAGAUAUCGGGAGGAACACCGGUGGCGAAGGCGGCGAUCUGGGUCGAUACUGACGCUGAGGUGCGAAAGCUUGGGGAGCAAACAGG